CCACUUGCUUAACAGUGAUACUGCCAUUUGCUUCUCCGUUUAUUUCUUUUCCUUCUUUCUUUUUCUUCUCCCCUGUUUCAGACUAAAGACUUCCCACGAGAAAACCGAAAACCCCAAAACCCCAAGCUCCUAUCGUUCUCUCUGUCCCUCUCUAUUCUUUUCUUUCUCUCUUUCUUUCCUUCUCUCUCACUCAGAUUAGAUGAAAUAGACGAAUCCAGCUCUAAAAAUAACUCAAUCUCGCUCUGAUUUCGCAGAUUGGUUGGCUGGCACUAAGAAAAUUUGUUGGUGAUGGGGAUCAAUUGCAAAAGGCUGUGGAAGUUCUAUCUGAUAUGAAGGGACUAGGAUUGUCUCCCAAUAGCAUCAUGUAUUCCAUGUCUGCUGUGAUGUAUUUUAGGAACAAGACAAAAGCUUUGCUGUUGAUUUCAAUUCUCAAAUGCAGUUGCUUUUGUUAGAAAUCAACUUCAACAGCAUGGAGAUGUUCAGCUAGCUUGUGAUUUGUGAAGCACUGGCUCAAGCAGUUCUGGAUCAACGAUCAGAAGAUAAUGUCAGCAUUGUCAUUUAGGGUAUGCACCUAUUCGUUCAUAUAUAACUUUUAUAUUUUAUUGGUGAAGCCAAUUUGAGUUGGCUGAAUAAAUCUAAUUCAUCCUCUGACCAAAAAUUAGAGAAUGACAAUGGAUCUCAAGAUUCAUAAUUAUAUGUUCUUUUCCAACUAGAGGUUUAAUUGUUUACAAGCUAAAGUUCAAAACAUGGUUCAAAAUUUUUGUUGGCACUUAUUAUUCUUGAAAUAUUGUGUGUAUAGUUAUUCACUUUGUUUGAUUAUUUAGAAAUGAAAUUUUACCAUCUUUUGACUAUUUUUGUUAAUAUUUCUCAUUUUGCCUUGGUUCUAACUUCUUGCCUUGUUCCUUUUUUCUGUGCUAACCAGUGAAUCGAAUUUUUGUCUUCCAUUUGUAUGUUGAGCUUAACCAUUUAAUUAAAUUUAUAGCUUAUUUUGUAAUUUUGAACAGAAGAGGUACAAUGUUUUA